rnacentral:rRNA from 1 species
AGAGUUUGAUUCUGGCUCAGGACGAACGCUGGCGGCGCGCCUAACACAUGCAAGUCGAGCGGAGUUUUUAAGUGGAAGCUUUCGGGUGGAAAUUUUGAAACUUAGCGGCGGACGGGUGAGUAACACGUGAGCAACCUGCCUUUCAGAGGGGGAUAACGUUUGGAAACGAACGCUAAUACCGCAUGACACCGAGACGUCACAUGGCGAUUCGGUCAAAGGAGCAAUCCGCUGAAAGAUGGGCUCGCGUCCGAUUAGAUAGUUGGCGGGGUAACGGCCCACCAAGUCGACGAUCGGUAGCCGGACUGAGAGGUUGAUCGGCCACAUUGGGACUGAGACACGGCCCAGACUCCUACGGGAGGCAGCAGUGGGGGAUAUUGCACAAUGGAGGAAACUCUGAUGCAGCGACGCCGCGUGAGGGAAGACGGUUUUCGGAUUGUAAACCUCUGUCUUCAGGGACGAAAUAAUGACGGUACCUGAGGAGGAAGCUCCGGCUAACUACGUGCCAGCAGCCGCGGUAAUACGUAGGGAGCAAGCGUUGUCCGGAAUUACUGGGUGUAAAGGGAGCGUAGGCGGGAAUGCAAGUUGAAUGUCAAAUCUACCGGCUUAACUGGUAGCCGCGUUCAAAACUGCGUUUCUUGAGUGAAGUAGAGGCAGGCGGAAUUCCUAGUGUAGCGGUGAAAUGCGUAGAUAUCAGGAGGAACACCAGUGGCGAAGGCGGCCUGCUGGGGCUUUUACUGACGCUGAGGCUCGAAAGUGUGGGUAGCAAACAGGAUUAGAUACCCUGGUAGUCCACACUGUAAACG